rnacentral:SRP_RNA from 1 species
AAUCUGUCAUGGAUAACCUAGUGGGAGGCCCACCGCCAAGCUAGCGACCUUGCUUCGGCCUUGUGCCAGCGGGUACGCGUGCCCGGACGAACCUUGGGGUCGCCGCCACACUCGUGCGAGUAAUCCACGACGCUGUGAGGCGCUAAGCAAUGGAAGUGACCCUUGAGGGAAGCAAUUCUGCAGAGACACUUCCACCCUGGGGUGGCGUCGCCGGAAUACACCGUCCCGUUACAGGGAAGCUGGCUGCUUGGUGAGACGACUGCACCUUUCUU